GAUGAACGCUGGCGGCGUGCCUAAUACAUGCAAGUCGAGCGAACAGACGAGGAGCUUGCUCCUCUGACGUUAGCGGCGGACGGGUGAGUAACACGUGGAUAACCUACCUAUAAGACUGGGAUAACUUCGGGAAACCGGAGCUAAUACCGGAUAAUAUAUUGAACCGCAUGGUUCAAUAGUGAAAGAUGGUUUUGCUGUCACUUAUAGAUGGAUCCGCGCCGCAUUAGCUAGUUGGUAAGGUAACGGCUUACCAAGGCAACGAUGCGUAGCCGACCUGAGAGGAUGAUCGGGCACACGGGAACGGAGACACGGUCCAGACAAAUACGGGAGGCAGGAGGGGGGAAGCGUCGGGAAUGGGAGAAAGCCUGACGGAGCAACACCGCGUGAGUGAUGAAGGUAUUCGGUUCGUAAAACUCUGUUAUUGGGAAAGAACAAAUGAGGAAGAAACUCUGGACGUCGUGACGGUACCUAAUCAAGAAGCCAAGGCUAACUACGGG
rnacentral:rRNA from 1 species